rnacentral:rRNA from 1 species
UACGAAGGGGGCUAGCGUUGUUCGGAAUUAUUGGGCGUAAAGGGCUCGUAGGCGGUUUGUCACGUCAGGUGUGAAAACUCGGGGCUCAACCCCGAGCCUGCUUCUGAUACGGGCAGACUAGAGGUAUGCAGGGGAGAACGGAAUUCCUGGUGUAGCGGUGAAAUGCGCAGAUAUCAGGAGGAACACCGGUGGCGAAGGCGGUUCUCUGGGCAUUACCUGACGCUGAGGAGCGAAAGCGUGGGGAGCGAACAGG